rnacentral:rRNA from 1 species
UACGAAGGUUGCAAGCGUUACUCGGAAUUACUAGGCGUAAAGGGUCUGUAGGUGGCCAACUAAGUCAGACGUGAAAUCCCUCAGCUUAACUGGGGAACUGCGUCUGAUACUGGAUGGCUUGAGUGUGGGAGAGGAAUGCGGAAUUCCAGGUGUAGCGGUGAAAUGCGUAGAUAUCUGGAGGAACACCGGUGGCGAAGGCGGCAUUCUGGACCAUAACUGACACUGAGAGACGAAAGCCAGGGGAGCAAACGGG